UACGUAUGGGGCAAGCGUUAUCCGGAUUUACUGGGUGUAAAGGGAGCGUAGGCGGCGGGGCAAGCCUGAUGUGAAAGCCCGGGGCUCAACCCCGGGACUGCAUUGGGAACUGCCCUGCUGGAGUGCCGGAGGGGCAGGCGGAAUUCCUAGUGUAGCGGUGAAAUGCGUAGAUAUUAGGAGGAACACCAGUGGCGAAGGCGGCUUUCUGGACUGAAACUGACGCUGAGGCACGAAAGCGUGGGGAGCGAACAGG
rnacentral:rRNA from 1 species